UGCUGCAGAGAUCCUGGUUAACGCCAUGAUGCCUCCAUGACAGUGGGCAACAAGCUCUGUCCCAUGUCAGACCACGCCCACCCCCUCCCACACAGCCAAUCACAAAGCUGCUCUCAUGACAGGCGGCUAACGGGACCAAGAGGAAAGAGGGAGAUACCAUUCUGGAGCCAGAGAGGGGGGGGUCCUCCAGAGAGAGUUCUUAAUACAGUAAGGCUGAUUUCAGCAGCUCGGCUCUUCAGCACUUUGACCUUCAAGCUGCUGAAAGUCGAAGACCUGAAGGUUUGUUUUUGUCUUUUGCUUCAGAUGAAGAAUCAAAAACUCAACAUCUGUGGAAAAUGAACAUCUGCCAACAUGAGAUUUGACACAUCACCCAGCACGCUAGACUUCCUCUGAAAACUGCUGCAAACUGAACUAGACUAAAGUAAAAGAGGGAAAUGAAUCAGGUUUCUAGACCAGAACAAGAACCUGGAAACAAACAGGAAACAGAUUGAGAUGAAAAAAAAAAACUAACUCAGCAGUUGAUUCAAAAAA